rnacentral:rRNA from 1 species
UACGUAGGGUGCGAGCGUUGUCCGGAAUUACUGGGCGUAAAGGGCUCGUAGGUGGCCAACUAAGUCAGACGUGAAAUCCCCAGGCUCAACUUGGGAACUGCGUCUGAUACUGGAUGGCUUGAAUUCGGGAGAGGGAUGCAGAAUUCCAGGUGUAGCGGUGAAAUGCGUAGAUAUCUGGAGGAAUACCGGUGGCGAAGGCGGCAUCCUGGACCGAGAUUGACACUGAUGAGCGAAAGCUAGGGGAGCAAACGGG